CGGCGGUAUCACGUUGAAAUGCCGGUUCCUGUACGAUUACAGAAGUUAAGCAACGUCAAGUCUGGUCAGUACCUAGAUGGGUGACCGCUUGGGAAUACCAAGUACUGGAA